UGAGUCACAGUUCAAGAGUUGAUCAUAUUUGUGACACAUCUGAUGCGGGAUUGUAGGUCACUUGGAAGACGUCUGUGCGGCCUCCUCUUUAGACCUGUCACUUUUACCUCGUGUGCUGAUCAAAUUAAGACCAUGACAGAAUUUCAUAGCAUGAGAAGCUUUCUGUAAAAUAAAAGUCUCCUUGAAAUAAGGGAGACUAUAGACAAUGUUAGUAAUGAUCAAAGCUGCACUCUAGAAACAUUUAAUCUUUGAAAAUUAAAAUGUCCUAUUUUUAGUGCUUUAAGGAUAGAAUUAUUUCUUCCACCUAUUGCUAAAACUACAUUUCAACACAAAUCAUGCUCCCUGUAUUAAAUCCAUUUACAUCUGAGGAGACUGGAUUAGAAUUUUUAAGACAGACUUAUUUUAACAUGUAAUAUUUUGGUGGGUGUUUUUCUUCAUUGAUAUACAGAAUUAGGGUUUCACAUAAAGAAGACCUAUAGCUGAUUUGCAUGGCUUUUAUUUAAUCUCAUUUAAUAAAUAAUUUGUGUUGCAAGAGUCUUAUCUUGUACUCAUUAAUAAUAAUGUUAAAAACCCAAGUGAAUUCAAAUAAUUUCCCAAUCUUUUUUUAAUAUUUAAAUGUUUUUUAAACUCAUUGUGAUCAUUCCAUAGAGUUUUAAGUGGUUUAAAAAAUUAUAUCAGGGACAGAUAUUUGCUUCCUAUUUCCUCCCAUUGAUAAUUUUUGUCUUUAACAGCAGUAACUAUUUUGACUUCGAGCUUUGUCAUCAUGUGCAAAAGUUAAUGUUAUGAUCACAGAGAUGAGAACUUAACUAUAAACACACACAUACAAUCACACCACAGACUCCCUCUCCCUCUCCCUCUCCCUCUCUCUCUCUCUAUCCCUCUCUCUCCUAUAAUGAGUUAAAAAUGACAUGUGUGGGGCUCUGAGAUGUUUGCCAGGUAGUAACCCUGGUUGCCAAGCCUGGCAACCUGAGUUCAACCUUUGAAACUCAAGUAAUGUAAAUGGAGACCUGCCUCCUUUUCAUGCUGUUUUCUGGCCUUUCCUCAAGUAUUUUGGCACAUGCAAUUCACACACACACACACACACACACACACACACAAAAUAAAACAAAUAAAAUUAAAAUAUUAAUAUUGAUUUAUUAAAAUUUAAUUUAUUAAACUCUCCAACUUUGAUUUGUAGAAAUACAUGUAAGAACAUUGUAUUUAAUUAAAUGUGUAGCCUCACUACUUAAUAAUGAUAUUUUCCUUUGCUAUUUUAUAGAAGAUGUAUAUAGAAUAAUCAGUGUUUUCAAGUCUUUAGGUAUUCAUCUGCAUGUAUGAAAAAAUAUCCUACAAAUACAUUAUAUACAUUCAGAGAAUAGAGGCUUUAAUUCCAUUGUUAUACUGAAUUUUGAAAGAGAAUUUUGAAUAUUUAUAAAAACUGAAUCAUCUCCAAAUAUUAAGUAUUGAAAUAUUUUUUCUUUUUUAAAAUUUCAUGGAUUUUACCAUUAGGUUUAAUAAUCCCAGCUAUUAAUUUAUUUUGAAAUAUAUUAAAAGUAAUUAAAAUUUUCUUGUAGAAAAUUAACAUAAAAUACUUUUAAAAUAAAUCUAUGUCUCCAGUGGUGGCUACUGAAACUGAAAACAUUUAGAGCCAUGAUGUCUACAAAGCCUCUGAUGUUUGUAUAGCUCAUUACCACCCAUUGAUUUUCUACAACUAUCCAUGUUUUCAGUCAUGAUAUAGGUGCAUGAUCAAUAUAACAGCUGAAAUUCUACUGGUAAUUGCAGCAAUAUUUCCAUUCCAUGACAUAUAAGAGGAGAAGAGUCAACAAGACAUAAUAAACUAGAUUUUAUGAAGAAAAUACCAAGUAUAUCAUAAUAAUUAAGUUUUAUGCUUUAAUUUAAUGUUUUUCAUUUAUUUUGUCUCAUUAUCUUAUGGGUGCUCUGCCUAUGUAUGUCUGUAUAUUGCGCAUAUGCACUGCCUACGGAUGCCAGAAGGCACUGGAUCCUGUGGAGCUGGAGUAAAACAUGGUCCUGAGCUUUCAUGUGGGUGCUGGGAGUAAAAGCCAGGCGUUCUGCAAGAGCAGCCAGUGCCUUUAUCUGCUGAGCUAUUCCUCUAGCCUCUUAUGUUCCUCCAUAAUCUUUGUUGUAUUGAAAAUGGAUUUCUAUACAAUAUAUUCUGAUUAUGAUUUCUCCUUCCACAACUCCUACUAGAUUCUGUCCACCUACCCGAAUCCAUACCUCCCCUGAUCCCUCUAUCAUCAGAAUGCAAACAGGUACCUACAAAUAUAAUAAUAUAAUGAAAUAAGAUAAACUUAUUUUAUUUGUAGCCAGCAAUUGCUAGAAGUGCAUAGGUAGCCUAGCUAAACUUACAGCCUUAAGAAGUUAGGGUUGGAGUAUAGUAGUUGUAUUUGAAUUUUGCUUUUAAUGUGAUUCUGCUGUGGCCCAACUUUUGGAAUCCCAGUGCUGGAAUAUCAUUAUCCAGCAUGAUGAGGUUCACCUGAACUCUACGCAGCUUUCCAUCAGGAUUUUAAUUUGGUGUCUAGUUGACCUGAAUUUCCAAAUAAAUUUGACACAAUACACAAUUCACGAUUCAUUUACAUAUUAAUCUAUCUUUAUAUGUAUACACUAUAUAAUUACAGACAAUUAAUACAUUAACUAAUAUGUACUAUAUUAAUAUAUUAUAUAACAUGUUAUAUAAUAUGUAAUAUAUUAUACUUACGAAUAAUGAUUAUAUGCUGAGUGGUGGUUGUGUACGAUUUAAAUUCCAGUACCUGGGAGGCAGAAGCAGAUUGAUCUCUGAAUUCUUGGCCAGACUGCUCUAUAGAGUGAGUUCCAAAACAGCCAGAGUUACACAGAAAACUCUGACAUACAUAGAUAGAUAGAUAGAUAGAUAGAUAGAUAGAUACAUAGACAGAUACAUAGACAGAUACAUAGAUAGUUACAUAGAUAUAUACAUACAUAUAUAUAUAGAGAGAGAUACAUGGAUAGAUACGUAAUUUUAUACAAGUGGAGGGAGUGUUUCUCCAGUAACUUGUGGAGAAUAUUUGCAAUUUAAGACAGCGUUUGCUUUUAGAUUCAUAAAUAGUCUUAUGUAAUCAUGGAGUUCAGUUUGAACAGUAUGAACAGUUUGAACUGUAGUAUCUUCAGUUUUUAUAAAUAUUUAUAAUGUGUACAUCUGGCAUCCAUUGCUCAUGAUAAUAU
rnacentral:lncRNA from 1 species